rnacentral:lncRNA from 1 species
UAAUUGGUUCUAUGUAGGUGUGGUGGUAGGUUGAAAUGGUUAUGAUAUUAUGCCUAAAAAGUAGCACACCUAAUGAAAAUAUGUUGUGCAUUACAUGUAUUGCAUAUGGUAGAGCACAAAGGGAAAAGUGUGGAUGGGAUAGAUGGAGCUAGUAUUUGGGAAUGAGAGUUUCUAUUAGAUACUGCCAUACGGUGUUGCUGUAUGCAAACUAUGAUGUGCAAAGCUCUAGGCCUUGUGGAGGAGAGACUGCAGUG